GAACCAGAAAACAGAGCCCCUGGAUGGGGCUGUAGAGGCCUCCAUCUCCCCCUCGGGCCCGGUGCCCAGGAGGUCCAGCAGCUCCAAGGGAGAGAGCUUUGGUCCACUACAACCACCAGAGGAGGGGGAGGGGAGACCAGAACCAUGCCCAGGCUCAGGGCAAGCAGGCCAGCCUGCGGACAGCGUAGCCUGCCCCUGCCUACCUCUCCCUCCCCAGAUGGGUCAACAACUCUACAAGGACUGGAGGGAGAGAGCCUGGGGAAGAUACUUUCCUUCAGUAACCAGGUUUCCCAUGCCCUGAUGCGUUCCAUGCACUCCCUGCUCCCCUCCCUGGUUCUACUAGGCCGGGUAACCCGGGUCAGACCCACCCCCUGUAUCCCCUCUAGUCUGCAGCCCGGAGGAGCCCGACCCGGCCCAGAACACUCCCCUCUCCCCUGGCCCCGACAGCAAUGAGAAUAGCUUCUCUGUCAGCCUAUCUGAUCUGAGGCAGUGUACCAUUGAGCGGGGGGGGGAGGAGGGAGUGGACCUGGUCUCACGCCCAUCUCCGUCAGCAUGUGCCCACUCUGUUAUCUCAGCCAUCCCUCAACAGGAAAUACAGACAUGAUCCAGGAAGUCAAAGGAAGUGAAAGCUCUGGAUGAGGAGGAAACACUGAAGUGAACUGUCAGUUUCUGUCUGUGUGUCCGGCCUGUCUGUUUCAUUGUUUUUAAUUGAUUUGGAGGUCCGUCCACCUCUUCCUCACAAGAAGGGCCUUGCUGACUGUAUUCCUCACAAGAAGGGCCUCGCUGACUGUAUUCUCACAAGAAGGACAUGCUAUUCCCUC
rnacentral:lncRNA from 1 species